rnacentral:rRNA from 1 species
GAUGAACGCUGGCGGCGUGCCUAAUACAUGCAAGUCGAGCGAACAGACGAGGAGCUUGCUCCUCUGACGUUAGCGGCGGACGGGUGAGUAACACGUGGAUAACCUACCUAUAAGACUGGGAUAACUUCGGGAAACCGGAGCUAAUACCGGAUAAUAUAUUGAACCGCAUGGUUCAAUAGUGAAAGACGGUUUUGCUGUCACUUAUAGAUGGAUCCGCGCCGCAUUAGCUAGUUGGUAAGGUAACGGCUUACCAAGGCGACGAUGCGUAGCCGACCUGAGAGGGUGAUCAGCCACACUGGAACUGAGACACGGUCCAGACUCCUACGGGAGGCAGCAGUAGGGAAUCUUCCGCAAUGGGCGAAAGCCUGACGGAGCAACGCCGCGUGAGUGAUGACGGUCUUCGGAUCGUAAAACUCUGUUAUUAGGGAAGAACAAAUGUGUAAGUAACUAUGCACGUCUUGACGGUACCUAAUCAGAAAGCCACGGCUAACUACGUG